rnacentral:rRNA from 1 species
AGUGAACGCUGGCGGCAGGCCUAACACAUGCAGGUCGAACGGCAGCACAAGAGAGCUUGCUCUCUGGGUGGCGAGUGGCGGACGGGUGAGGAAUGCAUCGGAAUCUGCCCAUUUGUGGGGGAUAACCUCGGGAAACCGGGACUAAUACCGCAUACGACCUACGGGUGAAAGCAGGGGAUCUUCGGACCUUGCGCAGAUGGAUGAGCCGAUGCCGGAUUAGCUAGUUGGAGGGGUAAAGGCCCACCAAGGCGACGAUCCGUAGCUGGUCUGAGAGGAUGAUCAGCCACACUGGGACUGAGACACGGCCCAGACUCCUACGGGAGGCAGCAGUGGGGAAUAUUGGACAAUGGGCGCAAGCCUGAUCCAGCCAUGCCGCGUGUGUGAAGAAGGCCUUCGGGUUGUAAAGCACUUUUGUUGGGAAAGAAAAGCAGCCGGUUAAUACCCGGUUGUCAUGACGGUACCCAAAGAAUAAGCACCGGCUAACUUCGUG